AUCAACUUUCGAUGGUAGGAUAGAGGCCUACCAUGGUGGUAACGGGUAACGGGGUGUUAGGGCACGACACCGGAGAGGGAGCCUGAGAAACGGCUACCACAUCCAAGGAUGGCAGCAGGCGCGCAAAUUACCCAAUCCCGACACGGGGAGGUAGUGACAAUAAAUAACAAUACGGGGUUCUUUCGGAUUUCGUAAUUGGAAUGAGUACAAUUUAAAUCUCUUAACGAUCAACAAUUGGAGGGCAAGUCUGGUGCCAGCAGCCGCGGUAAUUCCAGCUCCAAUAGCGUAUAUUAAAGUUGUUGCAGUUAAAAAGCUCGUAGUUGAAUUUCGGGAUCAGUAGGUCGGUCAUGCCUCAGGUAUGUACUGGUCUCACUGGUUCCUCCUUCCUGAUGAACCGUAAUGCCAUUAAUUUGGUGUUGCGGGGAAACUGGACUGUUACUUUGAAAAAAUUAGAGUGUUUAAAGCAAGCUAACGCUUGAAUACAUUAGCAUGGAAUAAUGAAAUAGGACGUUCGAUCCUAUUUUGUUGGUUUCUAGGAUUGACGUAAUGAUUAAUAGGGAUAGUUGGGGGCAUUAGUAUUCAAUUGUCAGAGGUGAAAUUCUUGGAUUUAUUGAAGACUAACUACUGCGAAAGCAUUUGCCAAGGAUGUUUUCAUUAAUCAAGAACGAAAGUUAGGGGAUCGAAGACGAUCAGAUACCGUCGUAGUCUUAACCAUAAACUAUGCCGACUAGGGAUCGGAUGAUGUUAAUUUUUUUAAUGACUCAUUCGGCGCCUUACGGGAAACCAAAGUGUUUGGGUUC
rnacentral:rRNA from 1 species